GUAGUCAUAUGCUUGUCUCAAAGAUUAAGCCAUGCAUGUCUAAGUAUAAGCAACUUUGUACUGUGAAACUGCGAAUGGCUCAUUAAAUCAGUUAUAGUUUAUUUGAUGGUUUUUGCUACAUGGAUAACUGUGGUAAUUCUAGAGCUAAUACAUGCAUUCAAGCCCCGACUUCUGGAAGGGGUGUAUUUAUUAGAUAAAAAUCAACUUUGUUGGUGAAUCAUAAUAACUUCUCGGACCGCAUGGCCUCGUGCGGCGGUGCUUCAUUCAAAUAUCUGCCCUAUCAACUGUCGAUGGUAGGAUAGAGGCCUACCAUGGUUGCAACGGGUAACGGGGAAUG
rnacentral:rRNA from 1 species